GACGAACGCUGGCGGCGUGCCUAAUACAUGCAAGUCGAACGCAUUUUCUUUCACCGUAGCUUGCUACACCGAAAGAAAAUGAGUGGCGAACGGGCGAGUAACACGUGGGUAACCUGCCCAUCAGCGGGGGAUAACACUUGGAAACAGGUGCUAAUACCGCAUAAUUCCAUUUACUGCAUGGUAGAUGGAUGAAAGGCGCUUUUGCGUCACUGAUGGAUGGACCCGCGGUGCAUUAGCUAGUUGGUGGGGUAACGGCCUACCAAGGCUGCGAUGCAUAGCCGACCUGAGAGGGUGAUCGGCCACACUGGGACUGAGACACGGCCCAGACUCCUACGGGAGGCAGCAGUAGGGAAUCUUCGGCAAUGGACGCAAGUCUGACCGAGCAACGCCGCGUGAGUGAAGAAGGUUUUCGGAUCGUAAAACUCUGUUGUUAGAAAAGAACAAGGAUGAGAGUGGAAAGUUCAUCCCUUGACGGUAUCUAACCAGAAAGCCACGGCUAACUACGUG
rnacentral:rRNA from 1 species